AUGUUCUAAACAAGAGGCACUGUGGUACUUGUUCUAAAUAAGAGCACCAACUCUGCAAUCAGCCAGUCCCAGCUCUGCAACUCAUGGCCUGUGUGACCUUGGAAUGGAUGAAGCUAACUGCUGUGGUGUCAUGGAAACCUAAUAGAAAUAUCAGGAAGUGAAAGGAAGUGUUGAAGAAAGCAUCAUAGAAAGCCUGCUACCAACUGAGUUCCAGAGAUACUAGAAACAGCCUUUUCUACUUUCCUGUUUUUAGAGAGAGAAUCUUCCUAUUCAUGCUUGGAAGACUGCAGCUAUUCUAUACUGAUAACUAAGAAACAACUUGGAGAUAGUCACUUGCUCCAGUUGAAUUGAAUUGUCCAGUUUGGAUGGCUGAGGAAAUGAAGCUCACCUUUAAAAAUG